GAUGAACGCUGGCGGCGUGCUUAACACAUGCAAGUCGAACGGAAAGGCCGAAGCUUGCUUCGGUACUCGAGUGGCGAACGGGUGAGUAACACGUGGGUGAUCUGCCCUGUACUUCGGGAUAAGCUUGGGAAACUGGGUCUAAUACCGGAUAUGACGAUCUCUUGGAUGGGGUUGUGGAAAGCUUUUGCGGUAUGGGAUGAGCUCGCGGCCUAUCAGCUUGUUGGUGGGGUAAUGGCCUACCAAGGCGUCGACGGGUAGCCGGCCUGAGAGGGUGUACGGCCACAUUGGGACUGAGAUACGGCCCAGACUCCUACGGGAGGCAGCAGUGGGGAAUAUUGCACAAUGGGCGCAAGCCUGAUGCAGCGACGCCGCGUGGGGGAUGACGGCCUUCGGGUUGUAAACUCCUUUCGCAAUCGACGAAGCCUUUUGGUGACGGUAGAUUGAGAAGAAGCACCGGCUAACUACGUG
rnacentral:rRNA from 1 species